AUUGAACGCUGGCGGCAGGCCUAACACAUGCCAGUCGAACGGUAACAGGAAACAGCUUGCUGUUUCGCUGACGAGUGGCGGGCGUGUGAGACAUGUCUGGGAAACUGCCUGAUGGAGGGGGAUAACUACUGGAAACGGUAGCUAAUACCGCAUAACGUCGCAAGACCAAAGAGGGGGACCUUCGGGCCUCUUGCCAUCGGAUGUGCCCAGAUGGGAUUAGCUAGCAGGUGGGGUAACGGCUCACCUAGGCGAAGAGCCCAGCUGGUCUGAGAGGAUGACCAGCCACACUGGAACUGAGACACGGUCCAGACUCCUACGGGAGGCAGCAGUGGGGAAUAUUGCACAAUGGGCGCAAGCCUGAUGCAGCCAUGCCGCGUGUAUGAAGAAGGCCUUCGGGUUGUAAAGUACUUUCAGCGGGGAGGAAGGGAGUAAAGUUAAUACCUGUGCUCAUUGACGUUACCCGCAGAAGAAGCACCGGCUAACUCCGUG
rnacentral:rRNA from 1 species